rnacentral:rRNA from 1 species
CCUGGCGGCACUAGCGCGGUGGUCCCACCUGACCCCAUGCCGAACUCAGAAGUGAAACGACGUAGCGCCGAUGGUAGUGUGGGGUCUCCCCAUGUGAGAGUAGGGAAAAGCCAGGC